GGGGGGGGGGGGGGGGGGGGGUGGGGCGGGCGGGGCGGGGGGUGGGGUGGCGGCGGGGGGGGGGGGGCGGGGUACGGGUGGGGAACACGUGGGCAACCUGCCUGUAGCUGGGGGAGAGCCUUGCGAAAGGAAGAUUAAUACGCCAUAAUAGAUUGAACGGCAUCGUUUAAUAUUGCAAGCUCCGGCGGAUAGAGAUGGGCACGCGCAAGAGUAGCUAGUUGGUGAGGUAACGGCUCACCAAGGCGAUGAUCUUUAGGGGGCCUGAGAGGGUGAUCCCCCACACUGGUACUGAGACACGGACCAGACUCCUACGGGAGGCAGCAGUGAGGAAUAUUGGGCAAUGGGUGCAAGCCUGAACCAGCCAUCCCGCGUGAAGGACGACUGCCCUAUGGGUUGUAAACUUCUUUUGUAUAGGGAUAAACCUACCCUCGUGAGGGUAGCUGAAGGUACUAUACGAAUAAGCACCGGCUAACUCCGUG
rnacentral:rRNA from 1 species